rfam:Caenorhabditis elegans chromosome X
GGCGCUUUACCUGUGCAGUCGGUUAGAGCGUGGGUCUAAUAAGCCCAAGGUCGCAGGUUCGACCCCUGCUGGCGGCA